AACGAACGCUGGCGGCGUGUUUAAGACAUGCAAGUCGCACGGAGUCAUUUGUGUAGCAAUACUUGAAUGGCUCAGUGGCGCACGGGUGAGUAACACGUGAAUGACAUGCCCUGCAGAGGGGGAUAGCCCAGGGAAACUUGGAUUAAUACCCCAUGGUAUCGCAAGAUUACAGGGUGGCCGCAAGGCUGCCGCUGCGGGAUUGGUUCGCGUUCUAUCAGCUUGUUGGUGGGGUAACGGCCCACCAAGGCUAGGACGGAUACCUGGUCUGAGAGGACGAUCAGGCACACUGGAACUGAGACACGGUCCAGACACCUACGGGUGGAAGCAGUCGAGAAUAAUUCACAAUGGGGGCAACCCUGAUGGUGCAACGCCGCGUGGAGGAUGAAGGUCUUCGGAUUGUAAACUCCUGUCAUCCGGGAGCAAGACCUGACGGUCAAUAGCCGGCAGGGUUGAUAGUACCGGAAGAGGAAGGGACGGCUAACUUCGUGCCAGCAGCCGCCGUAAUAC
rnacentral:rRNA from 1 species